AAGUCGAGGGGCAGCGGGAUUGAAGCUUGCUUCAAUUGCCGGCGACCGGCGCACGGGUGAGUAACGCGUAUCCAACCUUCCGCUUACUCGGGGAUAGCCUUUCGAAAGAAGGAUUAAUACCCGAUGGUAUGAUGAGAUUGCAUGAUAGCAUCAUUAAAGAUUUAUUGGUAAGCGAUGGGGAUGCGUUCCAUUAGGUAGUAGGCGGGGUAACGGCCCACCCAGCCGACGAUGGAUAGGGGUUCUGAGAGGAAGGUCCCCCACAUUGGAACUGAGACACGGUCCAAACUCCUACGGGAGGCAGCAGUGA
rnacentral:rRNA from 1 species